CUGUGUAUCCGUUCAAUGUACGACCCGCAUCUUCACCUUGCUCCUAAGCAACGGAAUGGAAAACGAUCCAGGGCUGCUUAAUUCUGGUCAGGGUCACAGCAGGUCUGGAUCAACCAGGAAACACUGGGCACAAGACAGGAAUACCCUGGACAGGAAAACAAUCCAUCACAGGGCCUCUCUUACAUCUUCAUUUCUUUACCUUAAAGCAGAUUGGUUCUGCAUAAUUUUUGGAGGUGCAAACAAAACCAGAGAACCUAGAGAAAACCUACAGGAGCACUGGAAGAACAUACUAAACUCAAAUCACUAACAAAAGAUGAGGGCGAGAAGGAGUAGGAGGAAGAGUUAUGAGUGUGUGAUUUUGCUCUGUCUCUUCAUGGCACGAACUCAUACACUGCACAUUGUGCAGGAGGUGAACAGGUCGUGACCGCAUUACUAAAUUACAGGUCACACAGCUGCACUGAUCAGCCUCAUUUUUCUUUUUCUUCACUAU